UUAGAUCAAAAAACAAUCCUUGGCAUGCUGAGUGAGGACAUACAUUACAAGAAGAGUCCCAAGCUCAAUCCUAGGGUGUUCGCAGAGCCCUAAAGCUUGACUGUGAUGCUGGCACAACUAGAGCCCCACAGACAUACAGAGGAGCU
rnacentral:lncRNA from 1 species